rnacentral:rRNA from 1 species
UACAGAGGCCUCGAGCGUUAGGCGGAAUCACUGGGCUUAAAGCGUGUGUAGGCGGAUGCCUAAGUGCUUUGUGAAAUCCCACGGCUCAACCGUGGAAUUGCUUGGCAUACUGGGUGUCUUGAGCCAUCUAGGGGCGAGCGGAACAAGUGGUGGAGCGGUGAAAUGCGUAGAUAAUCACUUGGAACGCCAACGGUGAAAACAGCUCGCUGGGGAUGUGCUGACGCUGAGACACGAAAGCCCAGGGGAGCAAACGGG